AUACGUAGGAUCCGAGCGUUGUCCGGAUUUACUGGGCGUAAAGGGUGCGUAGGCGGCGUGGUAAGUCUCAUGUGAAAUCUCCCGGCUUAACUGGGAGGGGUCAUGGGAUACUGCCAUGCUCGAGGGCAGUAGAGGAGAGCGGAAUUCCGGGAGUAGCGGUGAUAUGCGUAGAUACCCGGAGGAACACCCGUGGCGAAAGCGGCUCUCUGGGGGCAACCUGACGCUGAGGCGCGAAAGCGUGGGGAGCGAACCGGAUUAGAAACCCGGGUAGUCC
rnacentral:rRNA from 1 species